UGGGGAAUAUUGCGCAAUGGGCGAAAGCCUGACGCAGCAACGCCGCGUGCGGGAUGAAGGCCUUCGGGUUGUAAACCGCUUUCAGUGGGGACGAAAUUGACGGUACUCACAGAAGAAGCCCCGGCCAACUACGUGCCAGCAGCCGCGGUAACACGUAGGGGGCGAGCGUUGUCCGGAUUUAUUGGGCGUAAAGAGCUCGUAGGCGGCUCAGUAAGUCAGGUGUGAAAACUCCAGGCUCAACCUGGAGACGCCACCUGAUACUGCUGUGGCUAGAGUCCGGUAGGGGAGCAUGGAAUUCCUGGUGUAGCGGUGAAAUGCGCAGAUAUCAGGAGGAACACCAGUGGCGAAGGCGGUGCUCUGGGCCGGAACUGACGCUGAGGAGCGAAAGCGUGGGGAGCAAACAGGAUUAGAUACCCUGGUAGUCCACGCCGUAAACGUUGGGUACUAGGUGGUGGGGCCUUAUCUAACGGGCUCUGUGCCGAAGCUAACGCA
rnacentral:rRNA from 1 species